GAUAAAUAGAUGUGUAUGUAAUGGAUAACACAUACGGAAGGGGGUAGUCUGAUAUGUCCAUGAUGGUGUCAGCUCUAUUUUAUAUACACUAUAGUUAUGGUUCACCCAGAGCCCAGCACCUUCUGAUGCUCCACACUUGCAGCUGGGCUGUGAGAUAUCCCAAAACCCCAAACAAAUAUCUAAAGUCCUCAAAGUCCUCCUAGAUAAAAUGCUCAUUUAGAAAGAAGAGAACUGCCUGAGGAAAACCCAUGCCCAAUAACUCAUAGGACCAUGCUGGAACAUACCACAGCUGAGCGCCCUUCCCCUGACUUUAUCUGCAUCCUUACUGCAAAGUGGGCAGGUCAGAGCUCAGCUUCAAAAGCAGCCUGGGCUCUAAUCUUUCUCACCAGAUGGACAAGAAAACACAUGCUAAAAGUAUGUGCACAAUGGCAUAAGGCCCCCUUGUCUAAGUGGUUAGAGGAUUGGGAGCUAAGGUAAAUUUCCAGGACAAACCUACAACGCAAGAGACAUGCACACAUGCAAGAGGAGGCUUUUUCCACCACACAGCUUGGGAUAAAAUGACUCCACAUGCUACUCAUCUGUGUGGGCAUUGCAGUGCAGGAAAUCCACCCAGCAGAAAUCAAGGCAUCAGAAGGUGACUGGGGCUGUGCACCGCAGUGGAAAGAACGUCUCCUGAAGAAAGGAUUGCCACCACAGUGAUCACAAUGCCCCCAGCAUGAGGGCGAUGUCUGUCUUGUCCUCAGCAAGAUGCGAUUUCCUCUCUCCUCCUGGAGAGUACAUUGAAUUAUUCUGCAAGGGACCAACAAGUUUAACUGGCCCAAUGAGCUAAUUUUAGAACUUCAUUCUUGAUUUCAGAUUCACUUCAAAUACACUUUAUGAACAAGAAAUAUAAAUGCUAACAAUUUUAGGGUCACGUUUUUCCAAGGGGCCCAGAAAUCCUCAUUGCAGUAUGUUCUUCUGCAUAUAUAAAUAACUAAAGUCACAAAUGAUCAUUGUUAAUUAUCUGCCUAAUGUGCAGAGAGCAUCAUGUAGCCAGAUCUCCAGAGGGCAUUCACUGCAACCACAGCUGACUGCAGGAACAAAAUUGGAAACUGCUUCCCACCCACAGGCCCAUAACAUCACUGAAGGAUUGGAAAGGGGAAGGAAAUAUGAAGACCUGUGUUCGUCCCCUCAAAAUCCCCCAAACCUAAAGAACCUGAAGAAAAUCCAAGAGAACUAACCACAUAGCCCUCAACAAAACCAAAAGUGACUACUCAAUCUAUUAUAAAAUAACUACAGAUGACAUCAAGAUAUGUUGUCCUCAUCCUUGCUUAAAUAAGUAAGUUUCAAAGAAAUAAGAACAAACUCUUCAUGCUUAUUUCUUUUAUUUUCUUUAGCUAGUUCUAAAGGAACUAGUCUGGGCACAGCUAAUAGUCUCCCUACACACCAGGAAACUCUGUACAGGCUGGUUUACUCUGCUAAGACUCAGUUUACUGCUGAUAAUCAAAGCAGUGUAAUGUUUUGCAUUGACCUGUCAUUAGUCUUGGCCCAUGUAAAUCCCUCUGGAUUGCCUCAGGUGCUGGCUGAGGAAGGUAGUGACCAUGUAUUAGCCAGGCCUAAACUCAACUGUUUCUCUCCAUCAAGACCCAGACCUAUCACUCCUCCAAACACUUUACAAUUUAACAUUAUGUUUCUGCUUUUGCUUAUCAUUGCCAGCUUAAUCUCCCUGUCCCGUCUGGCUCUCUUUAGCAAUUACCGUUUCCUAGAUUUCUCUUUUUCACAACAUGAGUUUUGGAUUAUUUUCUUCCCAGAUUUAGAAGUCUGCCCAAGCCAAACCUCAAUGUUGAUUUCUGCCCAGGUUUUUAAUCCUCCUAAAUGAAUUUGUAUUGCCUUUUGUCAACAUUGGUUGUCAUAAAACCUCUCCUAUCUUGCCAUGAUCAGCUUUUAAGUAUCUUGUUAAACCUUUUUUGCUUGGGGCAGAAGAGGAACAUUUUAAAUUUCCAGCUCGGCACCAGAGGAGCCCAGCACACUGCUCAGGGUACAAUGUAUUGCACAGCAAAUAUGUUCCCUGUAGAAAUUCCUAGAUGAUAGAGUGGAAGAUGCAUGUGACAGACCAAACUCCAUUUUCUUAGUGAUUCAUAAAGGAUUUGCAUCUCCAACAGCCACCCAACAUAACAAUAAUUACAUGCCUAAAUCCUUAACAAACCACACCGCUGAGAAACACUUCCCAGGUGUGUUUAUCAGAAAAAGGUUCAAGUGAUAACUUCUGCUGCUGUGCUUAUAUAUCUGACCUAGAGACACUGUUUCCAGACUAAAAGCAGAGUUUCACUUUUCAUGGCUCAUUUCACCAUUGACUUAGCACUUACUCUUUUAUGAGGGGAUCACAGCAAGUGCCAACAAAGAGGGUAUUUUCUGUAGAUGUCCGUGGGAACAAGAAAAAGACCCAGAGUAUCCUACGAAAAAAAUAGAAUACAUGAAUAAAGACUUGUUACUCCUGACACAAUGGGGCAAUAAAAAAACAACACUGUAGACUGUAAGUAGAGAAAUUCAUUGGGUACUUUGUCUUAUUUAGGUUUCCCUAUCUGCUUGCAGAGAUAGCCUCAUUCUCUGAAUAGCAAGUAUACACAAGAUUGCUUUAAACUGUGCAGCUAUAACACAGACACCUUAGAUAAAAUAUAAGGCUUUCUGGAUGGACAGCAGUUAGUCAGGGGAAGCCUUCUUAAAGAUGAUAUGAAUUGAAAACACUCAUUUCUUAAAAUCAUGAAGGUGACAAGUGGAUUCAAUUAAUUCAGCCUGUGAUCUUCUAUUAGCUGUCCUUAGCCUACACCUGCUAUCAAAAUUUUCUGGGCAAGAAUAGCCUCCAUGGAGCUGAGGCCAGGGGCUUGUACGUGCUCCCUUGGGUUGCUGGUCUUGGUGUCCAACCAUCCCUGAAUGUACUCCUGUCCAGCACCCUUUGUGAUCCAAGAAGAUAAUUUAAGGCUUUACUCUAAAAAACAGCCACAAACUCUGUGAUGGGAUGUAUUUUCAGUCUCUGCCAUAACGCUAGCGAGUAGUGGGUAUGCAGCAACAGAUUCCUAUUUCCAUCAUGUCAGCUCUGCUUAGCAUCCUUUCACAAUCUCUUUUUUGUCACACCACUGACUAACCUGACAGGGACUAACAUAGCAUGAAGCAAGGUAACAUGAUUGAAGAGCUUGAGAAAUAUUAAACCAAAUACAUUGCAGAGAAAUUCGUACCACUAACUGCUUUCUCUCCCUUCUUUUUUUUUCUUGAGAA